AGGGCACCACCAGGAGUGGAGUCUGCGGCUUAAUUUGACUCAACACGGGAAAACUUACCCGGCCCGGACACUGGGAGGAUUGACAGAUUGAGAGCUCUUUCUUGAUUCAGUGGGUGGUGGUGCAUGGCCGUUCUUAGUUGGUGGAGCGAUUUGUCUGGUUAAUUCCGAUAACGAACGAGACUCUAGCCUACUAAAUAGACCAGAGGCUUCUUAAAACACGUCUCUGGCUGCUUCUUAGAGGGACAGGCGGCGAUUCAGCCGCACGAAACAGAGCAAUAACAGGUCUGUGAUGCCCUUAGAUGUCCGGGGCCGCACGCGCGCUACACUGAAGUGAUCAGCGUGCUUUUUGUACCCUGCUCUGCCAAGAGUGGGUAACCCAAUGAACCUUCUUCGUGAUUGGGAUAGGGGAUUGUAAUUAUUCCCCUUGAACGAGGAAUUCCCAGUAAGCGCGAGUCAUAAGCUCGCGUUGAUUACGUCCCUGCCCUUUGUACACACCGCCCGUCGCUACUACCGAUUGAA
rnacentral:rRNA from 1 species